rnacentral:rRNA from 1 species
CCUACGGGAGGCAGCAGUGAGGAAUAUUGGUCAAUGGACGAGAGUCUGAACCAGCCAAGUAGCGUGAAGGAUGACUGCCCUAUGGGUUGUAAACUUCUUUUAUAAAGGAAUAAAACGAGGCACGUGUGCCUUUUUGCAUGUACUUUAUGAAUAAGGAUCGGCUAACUCCGUGCCAGCAGCCGCGGUAAUACGGAGGAUCCGAGCGUUAUCCGGAUUGAUUGGGUUGAAAGGGAGCGUAGAUGGGUUGUUAAGUCAGUUGUGAAAGUUUGCGGCUCAACCGUAAAAUUGCAAUUGAUACUGGCAGUCUUGAGUACAGUUGAGGUAGGCGGAAUUCGUGGUGUAGCGGUGAAAUGCUUAGAUAUCACGAAGAACCCCGAUUGCGAAGGCAGCUUACUAAACUGUGACUGACAUUGAUGCUCGAAAGUGUGGGUAUCAAACAGGAUUGGAUACCCCUGUAGUC